rnacentral:miRNA from 1 species
GGGAGACUUGCCUGAUAACAGCU